rnacentral:rRNA from 1 species
UGAUUCGGGCUCGGCCGAUCCUCCCACCCUUUGUGUACCUACCUCUGUUGCUUUGGCGGGCCGCGGUCCUCCGCGGCCGCCCCCCUCCCCGGGGGGGUGGCCAGCGCCCGCCAGAGGACCAUCAAACUCCAGUCAGUAAACGAUGCAGUCUGAAAAACAUUUAAUAAACUAAAACUUUCAACAACGGAUCUCUUGGUUCUGGCAUCGAUGAAGAACGCAGCGAAAUGCGAUAAGUAAUGUGAAUUGCAGAAUUCAGUGAAUCAUCGAAUCUUUGAACGCACAUUGCGCCCUUUGGUAUUCCGAAGGGCAUGCCUGUUCGAGCGUCAUUACAACCCUCAAGCUCUGCUUGGUAUUGGGCACCGUCCUUUGCGGGCGCGCCUCAAAGACCUCGGCGGUGGCGUCUUGCCUCAAGCGUAGUAGAACAUACAUCUCGCUUCGGAGCGCAGGGCGUCGCCCGCCGGACGAACCUUCUGAACUUUUCUCAAGGUUGACCUCGGAUCAGGUAGGGAUACCCGCUGAACUUAAGCAUAUCAAUA